GUGCCAUGGGCGCAGCUGAUGCAGCGACGCCGCGUGAGGGAUGACGGCCUUCGGGUUGUAAACCUCUUUCAGCAGGGACGAAGCUAACGUGACGGUACCUGCAGAAGAAGGACCGGCCAACUACAUGCCACCCGCCGCGGUAAUAGGUAGGGGGCGAGCGUUGUCCGGAUGUAUUGGGCGUAAACAGCUCGUAUGCGGUUUGUCACGUCUGAAGUGAAAACGCUCGGCUCAACCCCGGGCCUGCAGUCUAUACUGGCAGACUUCAGUUAAGGAGAGGAGAAUGGAAUUCGUGGUGUAGAAGUGAAAUGCGCAGAUGUCGGGAGGAACACCGGUGGCGAAGGCGGAUCUCUGGGCCUGAACUGACGCUGAGG
rnacentral:rRNA from 1 species